AUGGCUCAAAAGCUUAAAUAAUUCAACUCGAAUAAAUCAACUCAACUCAAAUAAUUUGUAUUGUAACAGCUUUAAGAGAAGAGAAGGGCAAUUUAUAGGACAAUCUACCCGGGGCAGGAGCACCAACACUGAUCCAGCAGCAGUGGAAACAGACUCGGCGGUUCUGUCAUUUGAGAGCGAUUGUACUGUAGGCCGGCAUACGGCAGUCCAACAUCAGAAAGACAAGUUACUUCAGAGUGUCUCCGGAGCUCCUGCCCCAGGCAUUUCUGCGCUAACAGCCACGAUGAAAAGAAAGAAAGUCAAGAAGAACACCAAGCGCUUUAAGGCCAGACGAUCGAUGGAGAAGCCGCCAUGGAUCUACAGAGAUGAAAAUGACAUCAUCAGGAGCAUCGAUUUUAGCAAGAAGGAAAUAGCUAGAAUUACAAUUGAUUUAAUGCAUGAUUCUUGUGAUUAUCUGUUUCCUAUAUAUUCCCUUUUUCCUAUAAAUCAAAAAAUAUCUUCUAAGGUUUCAGGGUUCAUAAAAUAUUUUAAUAUUGCUAAAAACAAAUGUAUCAAUGAGUAUGGUUUUGCUGUGAUUGAACUAAAAGAUGGACCGCCGAUAUUAAUCGGACCCUUUAAGCCAGUUAAUGUUUCUGAGAAAGUAGAUCCUCCAGAUAUGGUUCACAGUGAAGAUCAAUGUAUUCAUGAAAUAAAGAAAGAAAUUAAAGGAAAAGAGAAAAUGAUAAAAGCUAUAUAUAUAUUUACUAAAUAUAGUCCCUGCUUUUGUAGAAAAUGUUUUUCUAAAAAAAAACGUGAUUCUUGUAUGAUCCAGUUAGUUAAUUUCUCUGAGGAAAUGUUCAGUUUUAAUAUAGAGGUUGUCAUCGCCUUCCAGGACUUUUAUGGUGCAUCAGGGAAUAUAGUUGAAGAGCUGAAGGUCCUGAUGAAUGAUAAAGAUCCUUUGAUUAAAAAAACAUGACUGGAGUUAAAAGAAAACAUGAAAAAACAACACCGUAGAUCAACAUUUACAUGUUUCCACAGAAACAAACAUAAAAUUACAACUAGGACUAUUAAAACAUAUAUUACAGAUGAAAUAAAUAUAAUAAUAAUGAAAAAAAGAAUUCUUUUUCUUUCUCAUAAUAACUUUAAAAUUGAAUUUCCCUCUCAGAAAAUGACAUUUCAUGAGUUCAAGACAUUUGGAGAAGAACAGGCAGAUAAACUGAAAACACACCUGAAAAACCUGAAUGUUAGCGAGGAAAUUAGAGAAAAAGCUUGUUUGCUUUUUUAUUCUAAGUGGUGUAAACUAGUGUAUGAAGAAUAUGAAGAGUUUAUCUAUGAGAAGCUCAGUGAUUACAUUAACAGCUUUGCAGUUACAUUCGCUUAUGAAGAUAUAAAGGCCAUCACAAAACACUUUCAUCUGGAAAGAGUAAAGUAAACUGAUACAUAUUUUCUGCAUUUUUAGUUCAGUCUGUCUCUGACAAUGAUUCUCCAUCUCAUUGCCUGAUAGAAAACACCUGCUCAAUGUCAUUCUCAACAAACACAUUUAUUCAAUAAAUCUAUUUCCUUUCA